AUGGUGAGAAGGGUACCCAAACACUUGAAUGGUACUGUACCCUCCACUUGCCACCUGAAUCCUCACUUGUGGACCCCAGGCACUCUGGCUGCAUUUGUGAGUAAGCAUAGGUGUGGGGCUGUGUCCUGCCAUUGCACCAUCUUUAAUCUGGACUUGUGGACCUCAGGCUGUCUAUUCAUGGACAGAAGUUUCUGCAGGCACAGGUGGGGUGCUGUUUCCUCCCAUUGUACACCUGAAUUCUGGACUUGUGGACCCCAGGUGUUCUGGCUGUGUUCAUAAACAGAAGUGUCCCCCCCCAAACAAACCCAUAUAUGGUGCCAUCUCCUCCCAUUGCAGGCAUUGCACUGCCUAUACUCUGGAUUUAUGGCCCUCACAUGCUCUGACUGUAUUCAUAAACAGUAGUUUCUUCAGUCACAGAUAUGGCACUAGCCCCUCCAACAGAAACAGAUGUGCUCAAGCUGAGUGGUCCGCAGGUGUUUGACAGAAGUCAUGAACAGAAGUAUCUUGGGGCACAUGUUUCUUCUCUGUUGUGCAGGCUUCUCCAGUAGUAACAGAUUUGCUCUGGCCAUAUGGGCCCCAAGUGCUUUGACCAGACACAAGAAGAGAAGACUUUCAGUCACAGGGUAUCUUCUUCCCAAAUCAGAACUGAGCUACCUGAUGGAAAAUGAGCAAGAUUAUUGUGUGGUGAAGAGAGACCUCUCCUAAAGUUCCUGUCCAGAUGCGCCUUCUCUCUGGAUCCACAUUUCUUCUCUCAUCACAGAUCUUUCACCUGGUAUCACUUUUCAUCAUCCUUAAAUAGAAUUUUCUUUAA
rnacentral:lncRNA from 1 species